AUGGCUCGUGAGAGGAACAGAUCUAUAAUCAAUGAACUUGUUAGAUUGCAUAAACAACAUUUGGAUGGGAGAUUGCCUGUUUAUGAUGGAAGAAAGGGAAUGUUUACUGCAGCUCCACUGCCAUUUAAAACCAAAGAAUUUAUUGUCAAAGUAUCAAAUACCGAGAGAGGAUACCAGGGGGAAAAGGAGUAUAAGGUCACCAUAAAGGAAGUUGCAAAACUAAAUCUAUACAAUCUUCAGCAAUCCUUGGCUGGUAGGCAGAGAGAACUGCCGCAGGACACUAUCCAGGCUCUUGAUAUCGCUCUGAGGGAAACCCCCACUGCAAAGUAUACACCCAUCUCAAGAUCAUUUUUCUCAAAAUCAUUUGGACAUGGUGGUGACAUUGGCAGCGGGGUGGAAUGCUGGCGAGGGUAUUAUCAGAGCCUGCGCCCUACACAGAUGGGAUUGUCACUGAAUAUUGAUAUUUCUGCAACAGCAUUUUACAAAGCUCAACCAGUAAUGGAUUUUGCACUGGAAUAUCUUAACAUCCGGGGUGAUGCUCCAAGGCGUUUGUUUGACCAGGAUCGCCUGAAAGUUUGCAACAUACUUGGAGGACAACGCUAUUCGAGAAAGCUAAAUGAGCGUCAAGUCACAAACAUAUUGAGGUUGGCAUGUGAGCGGCCAGAUAAAAGGGAGGGUAGUAUCGUGGAGGUUAUUAAUAGAAACAACUAUGGCAUUGAUGAUAAUGCAAAAGAAUUUGGAAUUAAGGUGAUGAACCAACUAGCAUUGGUCGAUGCUCGUGUGCUGCCUCCUCCAAGGCUUAAAUACCAUCAGUCUGGACGAGAACAAAUAUGCAAUCCGUCGGUAGGACAGUGGAACAUGAAUAACAAGAGAAUGAUAAAUGGAGGGUCCAUCAGGCACUGGGCCUGUGUUUCAUUUGGCUCUCGGUUGCAAUGGAAUGAUGUUAGCGUGUUCUGCAACUAUUUGGUUGGCACGUGCAAUAACAUGGGCAUGCAAGUAAGUGAGACACCGUGUGUGGACAUUGUUCAGGCACGCCAGGGUAACUUAGAAGCUGUAAAAAAUAUAUAUAGACAAUCUGCCCAAGUACUUGCUCAGCAAGGUUUGGAAGGACAAAACCUUGAGUUACUAUUUGUAGUAUUACCUGAUGGACCUAAUGCAAGUGAUUGUUAUGGAAGAGUAAAGCGGCUUUGUGAAAUUGUGCUUGGUUUAAUAACUCAGUGCUGUUUACCUAAGCAUGUUCAGAGAGCUGGCACACAGUAUCUACAAAAUAUGGCCCUUAAGAUCAAUGUUAAGGUUGGUGGUCGGAACACCGUACUGGAAAAUGCAUUGCUUCGGGGGAUACCUCUGUUGACAGAUAAGCCUACAAUUAUAUUUGGAGCAGAUGUGACCCACCCAUCUCCUGGGGAGGAUAUGUCUCCAUCUAUUGCAGCGGUUGUUGCGUCGAUGGAUUGGCCUGAAGUGUCUAAGUACACAUGCUUGGUGUCUUCACAAGGUCAUAGGGAAGAAAUCAUAGCUGACCUUUUCACAGAAGUGAAAGAUCCACAGAAGGGGGUUAUAUAUGGUGGAAUGAUAAGAGAUGGUGUUAGUGAAGGCCAAUUUAGCCAGGUCUUGCUUUAUGAAAUGGAUGCAAUAUACAGGGCUUGUUCUAGCUUAGAGAACGGUUACCUUCCUCAAGUUACAUUUGUUGUGGUGCAAAAGCGGCAUCACACAGGGCUUUUCCCGGAAGAUCAUCGUUCAGGGGCCAUGGCAGAUCGAAGCGGAAACAUCCUGCCUGGAACCGUUGUUGAUACAAAGAUAUGCCAUCCCAGUGAAUUUGAUUUUUACCUCUGUAGUCACGCCGGCAUUCAGGGAACGAGCCGUCCAACUCAUUACCAUGUCCUCUAUGAUGACAAUAAUUUCACCGCUGAUGCCUUGCAAACGCUGACUUACAAUCUGUGCUACACUUACGCACGGUGCACACGGUCCGUCUCGAUCGUUCCUCCAGCAUACUACGCGCACUUGGCGGCUUUCCGGGCGCGGCACUACCUGGAUGACAAUCACUCUGAUCAUGGAUCAUCUUCUGUGGGCGGCACCCGAAUGAAUGAUCACUCUGUCCCGGUAAAGCCACUGCCCAAAGUUAAGGAGAGUGUCAGGCAGUUCAUGUUCUACUGCUGA
rnacentral:rRNA from 1 species